GGGGACGUAACUCAGUGGUAGAGUGCCUGCUUUGCAUGCAGGCGGCCGGGAGUUCGAACCUCUCCGUCUCCG